ACUAGGGAAGAGGGGAGAGGGUUAGCAAGAGAACGGGAACACCGAACUGGGACUAGAGAAUGCUGGUAGGACCGAUACGAACUGGGUAGUUGUAAACGACGAACUGGCGCCGGCUGGAUGCAGAUCCCCGGCUGAAGUAGGAAGUGGAGAUUGAAGUCAGGUGUGACGGAAGAAUGAGGUACAGUGGCGUCAAGUGGCCACUAGAUGGGGAUGUUGGACCGCGUAGCAGAACACGGUGUGACAGGAUUGUGGGUAAAAUAGUCAUUAUUCUAGAGGAAUAGUUACACUGACGCUAUGUUAGUCUUGGUGUAGCAUCACGUGACCGUAGACAUGUGGUCCAAUGAUGGAGGGAUGGAUGGGGGAGGGUCUGUCCAACAUCUAUUAAUACAUGCCUGGUUUUAUUUUCUUCAUUUACCUUCAGUGGGCAAGAGUCACAUCCUUGUUUUCUUCCUUGCUGGUGUUGCUGUUGUUGCUGUUGUUGGUGCUGUUGUUGGAGUCUUUGUGUACCAGAAGAGGAAGGGUUCUGACACCAGCUCUGAGAACACGGAGGGGCAGAAUCUGUCUACUGAGUACCAACCUCUGACCAGAGGUCAAAGUUAAAUCAUGAAGAGGCUUCUCACGUUCAGCUUCCUAAACCAGGAUGGAGUGGAUCGCAGUUAAUUUAUAAUCAUUACAAACAGGCUUGGGACUUCAGCUAACUAAAGAUGCUUUAUUUGCCAGACUACAAUAUUCUUAACUUUAUUUUCGUAACAAUCAUCAAUCUGUAAGAAGUGUAAAUCAAUUAGAUCUCUCUAUUUGUGACAAAUUUGAUAAAGGAAAUAAUAAGAAUAAUAAAAAAAAAAGAAUUGUAAUAAAUAUUUAUUAAUUAUUAUUAUCAACAAAGUACAAAACUCUGGUAGGGAAAGAGAACAGACUUCCAUCAGGUACAAAAAGUACAGAUAAAUAAACCGUCCAGGACGACCGCAGGGCCACGAGACGCUCCUGGACCCCCUGGACUCAGACCUUCUGGGGGAGCGCUGCAUCAGGGUGGGGGUCCCCCUGGUCAGGCCCGCCCUCGGGGUCUGCGGGGGUCCUCCGGUCGCCUCCGGCUCACUCCUGUUGAAGGGCAG